GGCGAAUGAAGGCGAUGGAAACGACGGUAGAGGGCUUGAAGGCGGAGACCAUGGGUUUACGGCAAGAACUUAGAGAGUUCAUGCGAAUGUUUGGAGAACGAGGACAAAAUACUGCGAGCCAUCGAGAGGGAAGUCAGGAUUCAGUGAAUGGAAUCAAAGGGGAACGACGAGAAGAUGACGAAGAAGAUACGAGUGGCGCGCAACCAAACUAGGUGAAGAGGGUCGAGUUACCAACCUUUGAAGGAAUUGAUCCGCUAGGGU
rnacentral:lncRNA from 1 species